ACUGAGUGUCUGACACAUGUACAGAGCCCACAAGCUGCCAUGAGCUAUUUCUACAUGUAACUAGGUGACUACGCCUUGCAGCUUCCCCUACGUUAUAGGCUUUUUAACUUCAUUAUGUGAUCAGGCAUGUUGCCAACUUUGAAGGCCAUUCCACACAUCUGAGUGAUCUGGCUUGCCGUCCAGGUGAUUUAAGUGCCAAUCUUGAUAAAGGUCCGCACAAGGACCGAAACGUCGAUGAAAUACGGCAUCAACAGUGAACCCGAAUAAAAAUAUACUGAAUUUACAAGUGACUUCAGAGACUAAUUUCUGGGCGUGAGUGCACCUUCCACCUAGGUGGUUGUUGUGGUAUAUAUAUAUAUA